UACUGAUGUGGCCCAUGCGGAUAGG
rnacentral:piRNA from 1 species